AAAUUGAAGAGUUUGAUCAUGGCUCAGAUUGAACGCUGGCGGCAGGCCUAACACAUGCAAGUCGAACGGUAACAGGAAGCAGCUUGCUGCUUCGCUGACGAGUGGCGGACGGGUGAGUAAUGUCUGGGAAACUGCCUGAUGGAGGGGGAUAACUACUGGAAACGGUGGCUAAUACCGCAUAACGUCGCAAGACCAAAGAGGGGGACCUUCGGGCCUCUUGCCAUCAGAUGUGCCCAGAUGGGAUUAGCUAGUUGGUGAGGUAACGGCUCACCAAGUCGACGAUCCCUAGCUGGUCUGAGAGG
rnacentral:rRNA from 1 species